AUCCUGCAUUCUUUCUCUUCUACUGCCUUCAUUCUGCCCGGAAGGAACCAGGUUCCUUUGGACGCGAAGCUAGUUAAGCACUUUGAGAAGCGUUCUCCUUCCCCCAUUGGUAUUGUGCUCCAGUUUGUGCCCAUGUGAGCACUUUGCAAAAAGGCAGACAUCUAACAGGAAAAAGGAAGCCAGUCUGAUUCUCACUGAAUGCUUUUCAACUGCAGAUGUUUUUGAUGGAUACCAUCGAUUUGGAAACCUUAAUUCAUUUAAACAUGAUUCUGAACUGCUCCAAUGACUUCAGAUGAAUUUGACACUUUAUCCAAAGGGAGUAAGGAGCAAUGCCAAACUUAGACCAUCUGGCUCCACUUCCGGAACUUUCUUCACUUUAAUAUUGUGACAAUUAAAGUCAAUAUACAAUAACUCAACUAUUACAUUUAUAAAAUUUAUUAAAAUAAAAACUAGAGUUAAAAAGGAGCUAACUCA
rnacentral:lncRNA from 1 species